rnacentral:rRNA from 1 species
UACGUAGGGUGCAAGCGUUAAUCGGAAUUACUGGGCGUAAAGCGUGCGCAGGCGGUUUUGUAAGUCUGUCGUGAAAUCCCCGGGCUCAACCUGGGAAUUGCGAUGGAGACUGCAAGGCUAGAAUCUGGCAGAGGGGGGUAGAAUUCCACGUGUGAGCAGUGAAAUGCGUAGAGAUGUGGAGGAACACGAUGGCGAAGGCAGCCCCCUGGGUCAAGAUUGACGCUCAUGCACGAAAGCGUGGGGAGCAAACAGGAUUAGAGACCCGG